AUUCCAGCUCCAAUAGCGUAUAUUAAAGUUGUUGCAGUUAAAAAGCUCGUAGUUGAACUUCGGAACCGGUCGAUUGGUCCGUCCUCUGGAUUGUGUACUGAUCGAUCUGUUCUUCUUCGCGAAGACCGCGUGUGCCCUUAACUGGGUGUGCACGGGAUUCACGACGUUUACUUUGAAAAAAUUAGAGUGUUCAAAGCAGGCAUUCGCUUGAAUAUCUCAGCAUGGAAUAAUAGAAUAGGACUUUGGUCUUAUUUUGUUGGUUUCCGAGACCGAAGUAGUGAUUAAUAGGGACAGUUGGGGGCAUUCGUAUUUCAUUGUCAGAGGUGAAAUUCUUGGAUUUAUGAAAGACGAACUUCUGCGAAAGCAUUUGCCAAGGAUGUUUUCAUCA
rnacentral:rRNA from 1 species